CCAGCAGCCGCGGUAAUACGUAGGGGGCCAGCGUUGUUCGGAAUUACUGGGUGUAAAGGGUUCGUAGGCGGUGUGGCAAGUCGGGAGUGAAAUCUCUGGGCUCAACUCAGGGGCUGCUUCCGAAACUGCUGUGCUAGAGUGUGGGAGAGGCGCGUGGAAUUGCAGGUGUAGCGGUGAAAUGCGUAGAUAUCUGCAGGAACACCCGUGGCGAAAGCGGCGCGCUGGACCACUACUGACGCUGAGGAACGAAAGCUAGGGGAGCAAACAGGAUUAGAUACCCUGGUA
rnacentral:rRNA from 1 species